GAUGAACGCUGGCGACGUGCCUAAUACAUGCAAGUCGAGCGAACGGACGAGAAGCUUGCUUCUCUGAUGUUAGCGGCGGACGGGUGAGUAACACGUGGAUAACCUACCUAUAAGACUGGGAUAACUUCGGGAAACCGGAGCUAAUACCGGAUAAUAUUUUGAACCGCAUGGUUCAAAAGUGAAAGACGGUCUUGCUGUCACUUAUAGAUGGAUCCGCGCUGCAUUAGCUAGUUGGUAAGGUAACGGCUUACCAAGGCAACGAUGCAUAGCCGACCUGAGAGGGUGAUCGGCCACACUGGAACUGAGACACGGUCCAGACUCCUACGGGAGGCAGCAGUAGGGAAUCUUCCGCAAUGGGCGAAAGCCUGACGGAGCAACGCCGCGUGAGUGAUGAAGGUCUUCGGAUCGUAAAACUCUGUUAUUAGGGAAGAACAUAUGUGUAAGUAACUGUGCACAUCUUGACGGUACCUAAUCAGAAAGCCACGGCUAACUACGUG
rnacentral:rRNA from 1 species